ACCUGCGGAAGGAUCAUUAUUGAAAUAAACCUGAUGGGUUGUUGCUGGUUCUCUAGAGAGCAUGUGCACACCUUGUCAUCUUUAUAUCUCCACCUGUGCACCUUUUGUAGACCCCUGGUCUAUGUUGCUUCAUUUACCCCAAUGUAUGUUAAUAGAAUGUAUGUGCCUAUAAAAUAUAUACAACUUUCAGCAACGGAUCUCUUGGCUCUCGCAUCGAUGAAGAACGCAGCGAAAUGCGAUAAGUAAUGUGAAUUGCAGAAUUCAGUGAAUCAUCGAAUCUUUGAACGCACCUUGCGCUCCUUGGUAUUCCGAGGAGCAUGCCUGUUUGAGUGUCAUUAAUAUAUCAAAACCACUUCUUUGUUGAAGUGGGUUUGGAUGUGGGGGUUUGCUGGCCUCUUAAAGGGUCAGCUCCUCUGAAAUGCAUUAGCAGAACGACCUCUGUUCAUUGGUGUGAUAACUAUCUACGCUAUUGAAUGGUCAAGGCAGUUCAGCUUCCUAACCGUCCUUGGACAAUUUAUCAUUUAUUGAC
rnacentral:rRNA from 1 species